rnacentral:rRNA from 1 species
GACGUGACUUCAGAGUUUGAUCCUGGCUCAGGACGAACGCUGGCGGCGUGCUUAACACAUGCAAGUCGAACGAGGAUGUUGACUUCGGUUGACAUUCGAGUGGCGGACGGGUGAGUAACGCGUGAGCAAUCUGUCCUACAGAGGGGGAUAACAACUGGAAACAGUUGCUAAUACCGCAUAAGACCACGAGGCCGCAUGGCCAUGAGGUAGAAGGAGCAAUCCGCUGUAGGGUGAGCUCGCGUCCGAUUAGAUAGUUGGUGAGGUAACGGCCCACCAAGUCUGCGAUCGGUAGCCGACCUGAGAGGGUGACCGGCCACAUUGGGACUGAGACACGGCCCAG